rnacentral:tRNA from 1 species
GGGGUUGUAGCUCAGUGGUAGAGCACUUGCUGAGCAUGUAUGAGGCCCUGCGUUCAAUCCCCUGCAAUUUAA